CCAGCCCAGCCCUGACCUGAGCUCUGUGAGCUGAUUCCACCAGUGACUGAGCACAGACCACCACCAUGGAGCUGGGGCUGCGCUGGGUUCUCCUUGUUGCUCUGUUGAAAGGUGUGCAGUGUGAGGUGCAGCUGGUGGAGUCUGGGGGAGGCUUGGUGCAGCCUGGGGGGUCCCUGAGACUCUCCUGUGCAGCCUCUGGAUUCACCUUCAGUAGCCAUGGCAUGAACUGGGUCCGCCAGGCUCCAGGGAAGGGGCUGGAGUGGCUCUUAUACAUCUAUGGUAGUAGUAGCACAUACUACACAGACUCCGUGAAGGGUCGCUUCACCACCUCCAGAGACAACAGCAAGAACACACUUUACCUGCAGAUGAACAGCCUGAGAGUGGAGGACACGGCCGUCUAUUACUGUGCUAGAGACACAGUGCAGGAAAUCCAGUGUGGGCCAGACACAAACCUCCCUGUGCAGCUGCAGGAGUCAGGCGCUGGCCUGCUGAGGCCCGUGCAGACACCGUCCCUCUCCUGUGCGGUCUCUGGUGACUCCAGCAUGGUGACUAUGGAGCUGGACACGACAGGCCUCAGGGAAAACGCUGGAGUGGACUGGACACAUCUAUAA